UUUUACAAUAAAUGUUGUCUGGCACAGAUUUUCAAAGUUCUGUCGGCAGAGCAAGCUUUUUAGAAAUGCUCAUUGUAAGUAAGGUGACCUCACAUGUUUAGAUUGGGAGAUGACAGUGAACAUCUUUUUAAAAAUAGCUAUAGCCUCAGUGAAGGUUUUAAUUUUUAUAUCUAGAAUUUCUCCCUCACCUCACCUCCCUCUUUUUGAUGACAAAGCGGUAACUUCUUUCUCCUCUGCUGUAUUUCCCACAGGAGCUGCAGCAGUAAAGAGCAUGAUCCUCUCCCUCUGUCUGCUCCGGCUGCUCCUCCAACAUCUCUGUAUCUGCCGGCUGAGUCACCGCCCUGUGAGAAUACACAACUCGAGGUAAAUACGCAAACGCUCUGAUCAACACAGCUCUAUUUGAUUCAAACUCUAAACAUCAGUUCACUGUAAACAUUCUGCAUGGCACAUUAAACAUCCUGAAAAUAUCUCUGAGCACAAAUGACUGAGGAGUAAAUGCCAGAUACUGUCUGUUUAUGAGGUUUUAUUUGAUGAUAGGUCAGCCAGCUCGAGUCAGAUUGGAUUAACGCUCACCAUGGUAUGCACGAAGCUGAACAGUCUGUUGAAUUAGAAGUAAAACAACAUCAUAUGCGGUGAAAUAAAACUAUGCUAACUGUAAGAUCAGGUUCAUACAUUCAAAUCUAAAAACAUACUCUCAGAAAAUCGGUACAGAUUAUAAAUAUCUUUAAAAUCCUUUAUCCAGCAAUAAUAGGAGAACAGGGGAAUCAAAAUGGAUGUUAACUACAAAAUGUUGACUGCAAAGUUGAGUCCGAUCAUCCGACCUGAUUUGUCGAUGCAACACAGACACAGGAUCAGUAACAAAAUCAGGGUUAUCACUGAACUGGAGACAAUCACUUGGAGGAACAAACUGUCUGGAAAACAAAGCAGACACGUCAGCCCCAACAGGAUGAACAUGUAAAAAUGUAAAACUUUAAAACUGCUGUCUCUAUCUGCACUCACCUUUGACCUCGAGUAAUACUGUGUUAUUUCCUUGGAUUGUUAUCUUGUGCUCCUGGAUGCAGUUGGAGGGCAGCACCACACAGCUGUAAUGACCCGAAUCCCUCGUGACGGCACUGUCGAUGGUGAAAACCACCUCCAUCCGUGUGACACUAAACUCUCCCACUUGGACGAUGCUCUCAUUCUUUAUUAGGUAGGAGUGGAUGAACUGACAUUCACCAAGUGUUUGCAGGCUGGUAGAAACACUACAUCUGAGCUCAACGUCGUCUCCCUCGCUGACAGCGGACGGCCCGGCCACUGAAAUAUCUGCAGGGACAUAAUUGGCUGUGCAGCGGGAGGAAAAAAUGAGAGCAGGGAACUAAGAUU
rnacentral:lncRNA from 1 species